rnacentral:lncRNA from 1 species
UCAAUGCCUCUGGAUUUUAUUUUGACUCUCUAUUUGCUACAGAGACUUAAGCCAAUUAAUCAGUCAUCCUGAUAUGAUUUUCAAAAUGCCAGAUUUACAUAUUCUAAUUAUUAUGGGUGUUUGGCUCUUUUCCUAUUCAUGUCUUCCAAGUACAUAUUUCUCCCUGUGCAGGUUUUGGUUAUUAUAAUACUAUAAAGGUACUUGGUGCUUUAAUAACUUGUUUAAAGAUUUAUUUUUAUUUUUAUUUUAUGCGUAGGGGAGUUUUAACUGCAUGUACACAAGUGCACCACAGGUAUAAAGUUCCCAAAGAGGCCAGAAGAGGGCACCAGUUCCCCCUAGAACUGGAAUUAGAUGUGGUUGUGAGCUGCCUUGGAUGCUGGGAACCAAACUCAGAGCUUUUAACUACUAAGCCACCUACCCAGAUCUGUCAUAAUAACUUUAAAAGGUGUGGUCAUUUUUUUUGUUUGACUUUUUUUGUUGGUUUUUUUUCUUCAGUUUUUGGGGGGAGGGUUGUUUUGUUUUGUUUUGUUUUGUUUUGUUGGACAGGUCUUAACCCAGGCUGGCCUCAAGCUUCUCACCCUCCUGACUCCCAGGCAUGCCAAACAAACACAACCAGCUCUCAUGACUUUUUUAAAUUGGCCAUUCUUGCUCAUUUUAAAUCUCACAUUAUUAUCUAGAAACAUUUUGUCAGUUUUUUAAAAAUGUAUAGGGCUGGCAAUAUAGCUCAGCUGAUAGAGCACUAGCCUAGCAUGCUGUAUAAAGGCAGGUAUGUUCGAUGUCUAGCUAGCACUGCAUAAACUCAGGGCAGUGGUGCAGGUCUGUGAUCCCAGCACUUGGGAGGAGGAAACACAGAGUCGGAAGUUCAAGGUCAGCCUCAACUUCUUAGCAGGUUCAAGAUCAGGAGACAACGAUGCGAAACAAGAAAAAAUAAACACGUAGGAAUUAUCUCUAGAAUUUCAUAAAAUGUGUAGGUAUUGUUGGAGAGAGCAUACAUCUUUAUACUAACACUUGUCCCCAUCUGGGAAUAUGAUGCAUCUCUCCAUUUACCUGUUGGAAACUGCAGGGGAAGCUGCCACUUUCGGUAAGUGGUGGUGAUUUGUGUCUGUUGUUGAUUUUAUUCCCAGCUGUCUCGUGAAGGUCUUUAGCAGUCUUUAUUGCUCUCUUAUUAUAAACAGGCUCUUUCCCUCCCUUUGCGUUUUGUAGCUGGUCUUUGCUUGUCAAUUCUAAGAGUGACAUUCAGAGUGUAUUCCCCUUAUAAACCCAUUGAACCGUCCUCAGUAUACUACUCUCACAGGCUAAUCCUCGGCUGUGGGUGAGACACUCCAUCACUGGCAAUUACAUUGGCUUCCUUGUUUUAUUUCCUGCCCCUCUGUGGUUUGGUUUUGGUUUUUUCCCUUCCGUGGUUCCUGGUCUUCCCAGGUAGAUAGUUCGAAUUUCAAUGCUAAUGUUUUAUCUUUUGGUAAAAUUCAUUUCAGAAUUUCUCUUCACUUUAGUGAUGUCACUUAUGUAAUAUAUGAGGUUUGGGUUGUUUUUUGUUUUUUGUUUUUAAUGUCCCUUGCUUAUGUUCCCUACCUCUGGAGCUCUAAGUGCCAUGGUCAUGGUCCCCUUCCCUGCUUAGCUAUGUCAGAGGUUUGUGAGGUUCUGUUGCUCUGGGGAAUUCUUAUUGCUCUAGAUGGAUCAGUGCUUCUGUGGAGUUUGUUCCUAUUUAAUUAGCCACUGCUUUUAUUUCAUACAUUCUCUCUUCUGUUGCUUCUUCAAAGUACUGUAUUUUUCUUGUCCUGACAUCUUGAGCAGAGAGCAUUGUUGCUGCUUUUCCCUGGGCAAGAAUGCACGCGUUGACAGUGGUGUGCUCCGUCUGCAUAUGCUUGUAGCAGUGUAUUCAUUUGGACUUCGUGCCAUUCGUUUUGAUAUACACUAGUUGAGACAUACUAUUUUAAUACUUGAUACUCUUUUUGCCCAAGAGUUAAGAAUGUCUCUUCUGGGGCUAAUGAAAUGGCUCAAUGGUUUAGACCUCUUGUUGCUCUUGACGAAGACCUAGGUUCAACUCCCAACACCUACCAUCUGUCACUCCAGUCCCAGAAAGCUAGCCUAAUUCUUGGCCUCCUGGGAGGGAAACUCCAUCAUGUGCUUCCUUGUUCUAUUUCCUGCUCCUCAUGGUUUUUCCUUUGAUUUCCUUCUCUGAUUCCUGGUCUAUCCACGUAGAUGCCUUUGACUUCCUUCUCUGAUUCCAGGUAGAUGGUUUGAAUUUCAAUGCUAAUAUUUUAUCUUUGGGUUUUUAUGCUAAUCGUCUUAGUAAUUAUUUUUGACUCAUAAACUUCUCACCCACGUCCUGACAUUGGCCUCGGUCCUUACCUCAUUGACAGUAGUCAACUGGAGUCGGCCAGCCAUUCCCUAGCAGUUCCUCUUUGCUAGCUCCUGGCUUCUCCCUUUCAGUUCUUUCCUUCACUGAGGCUCAGCGCACACACACACACACACACACACACACACACACGUCACCUUGCAGAUUCACAAAUGCCUUCCCCUGGCAUGGCAUGGGAACACCAACUUUCUUGCAAAUCAAAUUAGAGGUCU